rnacentral:snoRNA from 1 species
GGCCUGGCUGGGGGUUCAGGCUGCAGACCCAGAGCUUCUGCUUGUGCAUAACUGGGACCCCCAGGCGUGGGGGUCCUUUCAACUGCCAGAGACAUGG